GAACGCAAAUUGCACUCUCGGGUAUCCCCGGGAGUACGCUUCUUUCAGUAUCGGUUCUAUCUAACCUCGCCUGCGUUCUUAGGAAUGUUCUGGCGGAGAUUGAGCGUCACACUUUGAACGAAGUUGUGUUGCUUGAAAAGAUAGCUGGAUGCUUCUCGUUCACCCGCUUGGUUCGCUCUUCUCCUCUUCGCGAGGAGCUGAGGCAAACGAAGUGACGUGGUUAAGCUCGCCUUCGUGCGACUACCCCAUCGUCAAUCAUCUUCGUGCGCAUCAGUGUGAUCUUUGGGCAGGUCGAGUAGGAAGACUCCGCUUGGAUUAUAUCCAAAUACAAAAAAAAAAUCAGAUCUGAAAUGAAGUGAGAGGACCCGCUGAACUUAAG
rnacentral:misc_RNA from 1 species